rnacentral:sRNA from 1 species
ACAUUCUUAAUGUCUAGAAUGGUUAUAUGGAUGUUUUAUAUGCAAAAUUUAAAUGUCUAAUAUGGAGACAAGCGAGUUUCAGAGUUAAGAAAUCUUUGUUUCCUAAACAAAGCUUGAGUCUUGUUAUUGUUUACAUAUGAGUUAUAAGUUUCAAUCCAAUGUUGCUUUUUGUUGUUGAUAAAAUUAUAUAUGAACACAUUGAAUGAUCAGAUUAUCUUGUUUUAAUUACAAGUUAGUUUGUAAAAGAAAUGGUAAUUCCUUUACUUUUCAUUAUUUGUAAAGAAAUACCGAUAUAAGACUUGAUCUAGAGCUUUAAAUAAACAUAAUAACGAC